AAGAAAGGCGAUGCUAAGAAACGUGCUGCAGGGGAGGCUGGCACAUUCUGCUCCUUAGCUAACCGCACAGGCCCAUGGGUCCACACACAUCAGACCAUGGCUCUCUGUGGUCUAUCUUUGCCAUUACUUUAACCAGGCUGUUUCUCAUGCGCUCAUGGAGGGUGACUGAAGAUGCCACCCCGAGGUGCACCCUCAGCCUCGCUGGACACUUACGGCUCGCAUUCUCCAGCCGGACCAGGCAGUUGAGGAAGUCAUCGAAGUCCAGCUGGAGCUCCUCAUCCGCAUACCUGAGCACAAUCAGCUGCAGGAGGUGGCUGCUCAGCUGAAAGCCUGUGGGGACAAAGGAGGAGACCCAGGACUCGCUGUAUCCGAGCCCCGAGGGUAUGCGGAAGCGAGCACCCCAGUCUGAGAUGGCUCCUGCCGGUGUGAGCCUGAGGGCCACCAUCCUCUGCCUCCUGGCCUGGGCUGGCCUGGCUGCAGGUGACCGGGUGUACAUACACCCCUUCCACCUCGUCAUCCACAAUGAGAGUACCUGU
ensembl:lncRNA novel transcript, antisense to CAPN9